rnacentral:tRNA from 1 species
AGUAAGAUGGCUGAGAAUAUAGGCGAUAGAUUGUAAAUUUAUAGAGGAAAAUUAUUUCUCUUACUA